AUGCAGGAUAAGUUACUGGCCAGCUGUUGUAGUGCUGGUCCGUCGUUCCCCCUGCACAAAUAAACUUGUUCCCUGCUGUGCCUGUGAGUUUGUUACCUGUAACUCACAGGGACGAUUGGGGCCAUACAU